rnacentral:rRNA from 2 species
UGAGGAAUAUUGGUCAAUGGGCGCGAGCCUGAACCAGCCAAGUAGCGUGAAGGAUGACUGCCCUACGGGUUGUAAACUUCUUUUGUUUGGGAAUAAAUGAUACUACGUGUAGUAUUUUGCAUGUACCUUACGAAUAAGCAUCGGCUAAUUCCGUGCCAGCAGCCGCGGUAAUACGGAAGAUGCGAGCGUUAUCCGGAUUUAUUGGGUUUAAAGGGAGCGUAGGCGGGCUGUUAAGUCAGCGGUAAAAUUUCCGGGCCCAACCCGGUCCUGCCGUUGAAACUGGCGGUCUUGAAUGCACACAAGGGAGAUGGAAUUCGUCGUGUAGCGGUGAAAUGCUUAGAUAUGACGAAGAACUCCGAUUGCGAAGGCAGUCUCCUGGGGUGCUAUUGACGCUGAGGCUCGAAAGUGCGGGUAUCAAACAGG